GGAGUUGUGCUGCAAGGAGCUAGGUGAAAGCUGCUGAAUUGUCAGGCUUCUGAUAUCUUCAGUGGAGACUCGCAAGACGGACAGAAAAUAUAUUGCUGAGCUCUUGGUUAGCCAUCAACUACCUGAUGCCGGAUCGGUUCGUCACCUGUGUAACCAGCCAGCUGAUUAACCAGAAUAGAGCUGCCGCCUUGCCCCAGCACUUGCACUG